rnacentral:misc_RNA from 1 species
ACCACGUCCGGCAGGCUUAUCUUUGAGAAAGCAUAUGACUACGGGCAGGAUCAACCAGGUAGCAUUCCACUUUGCUGCCGGCUCCGCAUGAGCAAGGGACGGAUACCAUCCUUUAGUCAAUGCAGGGCACGACAGGCUUCCGUAAGGGACAAUAAUUUCGGGCAUAAAAGGGGCAGAUACCCCAAGCCGAACAUGUUUCCACAUACAAGACUUCGAGCGACACAUGGGUAUCCGCUGGCUGCUAGCUUAAAUGGCAAAGCAAGGACAGACAUCCAGGUGAGCUUCAAGGUCUACCUCGCACCAAACAAUUAUGCCGAGAUAGAGGUGUGACUGUGAGACUUGAGAAUUCCGUCAAAAUAGGUAUGAUGCACAGGGGACAAGGCCAACCCAAGGCUAAAUAUUUAGCACUCGGGCAGAAUUGAACAGGUUUGAACAAGCGAUUGUCGCUGCCAAGGCAGGGAACCAACCGACCGGAACAAACCAAUCACCACUCACACGCCCAUGAG